CAUGGUGCCUAUGGUUUUUGAAUUAGUUUAUUUAUAUAAUUAUAUGAGUGUUUUUUAGGUUUAUGGUGGGAGAGUUAAGGAGACGAGUGUCCAGAAUUGCAAAAACUAACUAUUUGUAUUUUUAGUUUGACAUAUAGUGCUACUGGUUGUGAGUGCAACUAGACCAUUUUUGAGCAGAUACAUCCAAAGAAGAGGAAUAAACUCGAGCAACAAAGAUUGAAUGCGCUUGUCUUCAUAAAAUUUAAUCUCUAGCUCGAAGUCCGUCAUGCAAAGAGAGAGGACCAAGGGCUUAAUCCUAUAUGCUUAUCAAAUAUGGAAUCUGAUGAUGAAUGGAUCAUAGAGAAAGAUGAUCUUGCACUUCUUGUAGAUAACAACCGGAUGGACAUAGGUGAAUGCUUUGCUGAAGGAUUGGAGGAUGUACAAGGUGUAGGUGGAUCCACAUCAAGACUGGAUGGGUGACGUGGUCUUAUAAAACUUGUUAUCAGUAAAGCGAAGGGAAAAGCGAAAGUGGUAGAAGAAGAGGAAGAAAAGUUUAUUUCAACAUCAAAUUCUGAAGGUUGAAGAUGAUGUUGAUAAUGUUGAUCUCAUUGAUGAUGAUAGCGCCGCCGCAACCGAUUAAGAAUAGAUUCGUUUGGACUUUUUAUUUCCUUUUUAACUUAUAGAAACAAGUGAAUAGAUAAUACAUUAUACAUGUAAAUGGGGAUGGGGAAAAUGUUAUUUUUUGAAUCAUAUAAAGAAAAAAGGGUUAUUUUUUGAACUUGAUUAUGAC